rfam:Ciona savignyi cont_28448, whole genome shotgun sequence.
AGCUUUGCGCAGUGGCAGUAACAUAGCUGAUGAGGUUCAUCCGAGGCGUGUUUAUUGCUAGUUGAAAACUAUACCCAAUACCCCGCCCUGUGGACGUAUAAACCGUUCGCUGUGGCAAUUUUUGAUGGGUUCCCCGGAAC